rnacentral:rRNA from 1 species
AGAGUUUGAUCCUGGCUCAGGACGAACGCUGGCGGCGUGCUUAACACAUGCAAGUCGAACGGAAAGGCCCUUCGGGGUACUCGAGUGGCGAACGGGUGAGUAACACGUGGGUGAUCUGCCCUGCACUCUGGGAUAAGCCUGGGAAACUGGGUCUAAUACCGGAUAGGACCGCAUGCUUCAUGGUGUGUGGUGCAAAGCUUUUGCGGUGUGGGAUGAGCCCGCGGCCUAUCAGCUUGUUGGUGGGGUAAUGGCCUACCAAGGCGACGACGGGUAGCCGGCCUGAGAGGGUGACCGGCCACACUGGGACUGAGAUACGGCCCAGACUCCUACGGGAGGCAGCAGUGGGGAAUAUUGCACAAUGGGCGCAAGCCUGAUGCAGCGACGCCGCGUGAGGGAUGACGGCCUUCGGGUUGUAAACCUCUUUCAGUAGGGACGAAGCGAAAGUGACGGUACCUACAGAAGAAGGACCGGCCGACUACGUGCCAGCAGCCGCGGUAAUACGUAGGGUCCGAGCGUUGUCCGGAAUUACUGGGCGUAAAGAGCUCGUAGGUGGUUUGUCGCGUUGUUCGUGAAAACUCACAGCUUAACUGUGGGCGUGCGGGCGAUACGGGCAGACUAGAGUACUGCAGGGGAGACUGGAAUUCCUGGUGUAGCGGUGGAAUGCGCAGAUAUCAGGAGGAACACCGGUGGCGAAGGCGGGUCUCUGGGCAGUAACUGACGCUGAGGAGCGAAAGCGUGGGUAGCGAACAGGAUUAGAUACCCUGGUAGUCCAA